rnacentral:misc_RNA from 1 species
GAUGAAGAACGUAGCGAAAUGCGAUAAGUAAUGUGAAUUGCAGAAUUCAGUGAAUCAUCGAAUCUUUGAACGCACCUUGCACUCCUUGGUAUUCCGAGGAGUACGCCUGUUCGAGUGUUAUGAAGCUCUUAAAACGCAAUUGGCUUAAAACCUGAUUGUUGUUUUGGAUUUGAACUUUGCCGUGUUAUAACGGCUGGUUUUAAAAGUAUUAGCUGGUACUAGAACGAAUUGGUUCUACUCAACGUGAUAAUUAUCUGAUCGUUGAGGACAUUCCUUUCACGAGGAAUGGCCAUAGUAAAUUCAAUGGACUGCUUCUAAUCUGGCUUUAAUUCUUUAUUGGAUUAACCACUUUUCAAAUCUGACCUCGAAUCAGGUGGGACUACCCGCUGAACUUAAGCAUAUCAAUAAGCGGAGGA